rnacentral:rRNA from 1 species
UACGUAGGGGGCAAGCGUUAUCCGGAAUUACUGGGUGUAAAGGGUGAGUAGGCGGCAUGGUAAGCCAGAUGUGAAAGCCUUGGGCUUAACCCGAGGAUUGCAUUUGGAACUAUCAAGCUAGAGUACAGGAGAGGAAAGCGGAAUUCCUAGUGUAGCGGCGAAAUGCGUAGAUAUUAGGAAGAACACCAGUGGCGAAGGCGGCUUUCUGGACUGAAACUGACGCUGAGGCACGAAAGCGUGGGGAGCGAACAGG